UACGUAGGGGGCAAGCGUUAUCCGGAAUUACUGGGUGUAAAGGGAGCGUAGACGGUAAUGUAAGUCUGGAGUGAAAGGCGGGGGCCCAACCCCCGGACUGCUCUGGAAACUAUGUUACUAGAGUGCAGGAGAGGUAAGCGGAAUUCCUAGUGUAGCGGUGCAAUGCGUAGAUAUUAGGAGGAACACCAGUGGCGAAGGCGGCUUACUGGACUGUAACUGACGUUGAGGCUCGAAAGCGUGGGGAGCAAACAGG
rnacentral:rRNA from 1 species